GGUAACAGGAAGCAGCUUGCUGCUUCGCUGACGAGUGGCGGACGGGUGAGUAAUGUCUGGGAAACUGCCUGAUGGAGGGGGAUAACUACUGGAAACGGUAGCUAAUACCGCAUAACGUCGCAAGACCAAAGAGGGGGACCUUCGGGCCUCUUGCCAUCGGAUGUGCCCAGAUGGGAUUAGCUAGUAGGUGGGGUAACGGCUCACCUAGGCGACGAUCCCUAGCUGGUCUGAGAGGAUGACCAGCCACACUGGAACUGAGACACGGUCCAGACUCCUACGGGAGGCAGCAGUGGGGAAUAUUGCACAAUGGGCGCAAGCCUGAUGCACCCAUGCCGCGUGUAUGAAGAAGGCCUUCGGGUUGUAAAGUACUUUCAGCGGGGAGGAAGGUGUUGAGGUUAAUAACCUUGUCAAUUGACGUUACCCGCAAAAGAAGCACCGGCUAACUCCGUGCCAGCAGCCGCGGUAAUACGGAGGGUGCAAGCGUUAAUCGGAAUUACUGGGCGUAAAGCGCACGCAGGCGGUCUGUCAAGUCGGAUGUGAAAUCCCCGGGCUCAACCUGGGAACUGCAUUCGAAACUGGCAGGCUAGAGUCUUGUAGAGGGGGGUAGAAUUCCAGGUGUAGCGGUGAAAUGCGUAGAGAUCUGGAGGAAUACCGGUGGCGAAGGCGGCCCCCUGGACAAAGACUGACGCUCAGUGCAAAGCGUGGGGAGCAAACAGGAUUAGAUACCUGGUAGUCCACGCCG
rnacentral:rRNA from 1 species